CCCUUAGAUGUUCUGGGCCGCACGCGCGCUACACUGACGAUGGCAACGAGUUUUUCCUUCGCCGAAAGGUGUGGGUAAUCUUUUGAAACAUCGUCGUGCUGGGGAUAGAUCAUUGCAAUUUUUGAUCUUGAACGAGGAAUUCCUAGUAAGCGCGAGUCAUCAGCUCGCGUUGAUUACGUCCCUGCCCUUUGUACACACCGCCCGUCGCUACUACCGAUUGAAUGGUUUAGUGAGGACUCCUGAUUGGCGCCGCCGCCUCGGCAACGGAGCAGCGGACUGCCGAAAAGUUGUUCAAACUUGAUCAUUUAGAGGAAGUAAAAGUCGUAACA
rnacentral:rRNA from 1 species